GACGAACGCUGGCGGCGUGCCUAAUACAUGCAAGUCGAGCGAGCUUGCCUAGAUGAAUUUGGUGCUUGCACCAAAUGAAACUAGAUACAAGCGAGCGGCGGACGGGUGAGUAACACGUGGGUAACCUGCCCAAGAGACUGGGAUAACACCUGGAAACAGAUGCUAAUACCGGAUAACAACACUAGACGCAUGUCUAGAGUUUAAAAGAUGGUUCUGCUAUCACUCUUGGAUGGACCUGCGGUGCAUUAGCUAGUUGGUAAGGUAACGGCUUACCAAGGCAAUGAUGCAUAGCCGAGUUGAGAGACUGAUCGGCCACAUUGGGACUGAGACACGGCCCAAACUCCUACGGGAGGCAGCAGUAGGGAAUCUUCCACAAUGGACGCAAGUCUGAUGGAGCAACGCCGCGUGAGUGAAGAAGGGUUUCGGCUCGUAAAGCUCUGUUGGUAGUGAAGAAAGAUAGAGGUAGUAACUGGCCUUUAUUUGACGGUAAUUACUUAGAAAGUCACGGCUAACUACGUGCCAGCAGCCGCGGUAAUACGUAGGUGGCAAGCGUUGUCCGGAUUUAUUGGGCGUAAAGCGAGUGCAGGCGGUUCAAUAAGUCUGAUGUGUAAGCCUUCGGCUCAACCGGAGAAUUGCAUCAGAAACUGUUGAACUUGAGUGCAGAAGAGGAGAGUGGAACUCCAUGUGUAGCGGUGGAAUGCGUAGAUAUAUGGAAGAACACCAGUGGCGAAGGCGGCUCUCUGGUCUGCAACUGACGCUGAGGCUCGAAAGCAUGGGUAGCGAACAGG
rnacentral:rRNA from 1 species